UGGUGGAGUGAUUUGUCUGGUUAAUUCCGAUAACGAACGAGACCUCAGCUUGUUAAAUAGUGUGGGUAAGCUUCUACACGGGUGAAGCAGUGGUCAUCCUCGUCGCUGGGGCCUUCUGGGUCUUGGUCGGCGAGGGUACUGCUGUGGAUCCUUGAAUGCUUGCUCGUAUCUUCUUAAAGGGACACUUGGCGUUUAGCCAGGGGAAGUGAGGCAAUAACA
rnacentral:rRNA from 1 species